CUCUUCCAUCUCCCUAUUUAUCAUAGGAUUAAAUGCCAACACCAGACCCAUAGUCCCUCUCAUACCCACACCCCAACACCAUGUGUGCAGACCGCUUCACAUGUAUACUUUUCAAGCAUUAUGUGCAUCCUAAUUUAUGUAAUUGGAAGACUAUAUGAACCUAACUUCUUCACAUCUAUUUAUACAGAACUCAAAUCAUAGAAAAUCUUGUAAACCUACUUGAAACCAUAACUACAUAGCAGCAGCUAUACAAGAGAUGUUUGCUAUUUUUCAUGCAUGCCAGAUCAUCCCCCUAAUGUAUCGUGUACUAAAAUAUGUUGAAAACACGCAUCCAGUAUUGCAAGCAAACAGAAAUGUAGAGUCGGCCAGAAAGGAAAAACAUGCUGAAGGAGAAAAAAAAAAGAAUUAAAUGGGAGAAUUGAGACCAACAACCAUUUAAAUAGAUAAUGUUAGCAACAAAAAGUGUAAGCCGGGUAAAGAGAAUGAAACGGUACCUCCUCAGGAGACACACCGGCGUCUUCAAGGCUGCUCUGGAUGCAUGUAGACACGCCGAGUCCGUCAGAUCUUGGAUCAGUCAUGUGAUAAGCAUCACAGUUAACAGCACCUCCCAAAUAUUCAGCAAUAAUAGGUGCACCUCGCUUCAUGGCAUGUUCCAGGCUUUCCAAUACCUGUGAAGUUAUAGUACUCUCGUUACAAUAUAGAAAUUAGCUUAAAUAGGACCCAAAAAAACAGGACACACACAACAUGGCUACUUCUUAAACACUUCAAAGAUGCAAGGUUUAGAAUUAUUCUUUUUUGGAUCAUGUACAAAGGAAAAGAUAAUGCUGUUACAAUGCUCACAAUAGUAUUAAAAAUAGAUCAUCUUAAGAAGCAAGUAUAGCAGUAGCAAUUGCAAUUGAAUUCUACUCAAUCAUGAAUUUUGUGUAUAUUUUUACUCAAAUGUUAGUAUUUAGUUGUUAGAUUAAUUAUUUAUUCAUUUGUCUGAGUUUGAACUCAGGACCUCCAACACCUUAACCCUUGAGCUGCCCAACUCCCCAUAUUGUUAAUUAAGGUAACCAACAACAUCCAAUCCAAAACAAUAACAAGAAAACAUUAAAGACGUUGAGAGAAAUAAAUCCUUACCAAAACUCCAGAACCUUCACCCAUAACAAAACCAUCACGUGCUUUAUCCCAAGGCCUAGAAGCAGUUUUAGGGUCAUCAUUUCUCUGAGAAAGUGCCCUACAAGCAACAAAACCACCCAAACCAAUCGGAAUAAUCGCAGCCUCAGUCCCACCGGCGAUCAUCAAAUCAGCCUCACCUCUACGAAUGUGAUUGGCAGCAGCAUAAAAACAAUAAUUUGAAGUAGCACAAGCAGUAGAAAUAGAAUAAUUUGGACCCAUAAAACCUAAAUCAAUCCCAAGCAAAGCUGAACCCAUAUUUGUAAUAGCAUAAGGAAUAAAAAAAGGUGUUAUCUUUCUAUAUCCCUUUUCAAUCAAAUUCUUAACUCCUUCAGAAAAUACAGUUAAACCACCCAUUCCUGACCCAACCAAAACACCAGCACGUUCCUUAUCAAUCUGCAAAAUCAAAAUUGAAAAUCCAAUUUAAGGUUUAGUGAGAAAAUCAAAUAAAAAAAAAAAAGUGUGAAAUGAACAAAACGAGACAAACCUUGGAUAAAUUUGCAGCACCGAGAUUAGCGUGUUCGAGUGCUUUCUUACCGGCGACAAUGCAGUACCGGAGACAAUCAUCGAGUCUCCGGUCAUUCUUCCCGUCAAUGUAACCCUCAGAACUGAAGUCACGGAUCUGACCAGCGAAUCGAGUUGGGAAUUUGGAAGCAUCAAAUCUAUCAAUGGAAGUGAUACCACUCUCACCAGCGAGAAGCUUAUCAUAGUAAGCAUCAACGUCAUUUCCAAACACCGAAGCAAGACCCAUACCGGUAAUCACAACACGCUUCUUUGGAUCCUUUUCUCUUUGAGGCGCAGUGGUGGUGGUGACCGCGGCGGAGAUACGAGUAACUCUCUUUGUUUUGGCGGUGGCGGUGGCGGCAUUGGAGGAUUUACGGCGAAGUGGUUCGAGCGGUGAAGGACGGAGAGUGGAGGGAAGUUGUUGUUGAAUCUGAACUGAUUGCAUUGUAAGUGUUUGAUGAAAUGACUGACACUAACUGACGGAGAGUACGAAGAAGGUGAGUGAGUGUGAAUGAGUGUGUAAUGUAAGGUAAGAUAGUUAGUACUAACAAGUUGUUGGUAUUUAAUGUAUUUUGACGGUAAUAACUAUGUUUUCUUCUGCAUUGGAAAUUUCGGAGUUCAUAAAUAUAACGGCAACUUUGACAUGUCCACCACUUCUUUAGGUGGUUCAUAAUAGAUCAACUACCCCAUUUAAUUUUUUCUAACUAGUAGGGAUUCGUUAGCUCAUACAAUUUCCUCUCAUAAAAUAGAUUUUGACUAAUAUGCAUAAAUUUGUUUUCUAGUAUUGAAUCAGGAAAUUAGUCAUUUAAGUGUGUCUUUGGAUUGCCAUCACGUUUUCUCAAACCCCACAUUUAAAGUCACGUUAGCAGUGAAGUGAAGCUAAGUAUUGUAGCUUCGUGCUUUUAGCGUUUGAGGUGCAUUGGGGCGCAAGAAUGUCGUGAAAAAUGCUUUAUCAAAUAAGCUAUAAGCGUAUUUACCGUCUUUAAUUUGCGUAGAGAAAGGUGUUGACACUUUUCAUUUACGUGGUCUGGGUUUAUGGUUAGGUAUUUGAAAGCUAAAAGUUUCACAAAAAAAUAAACAAUCUUAUUUAGCGAAUGUGUUGUGGCUAUUUAAGUUUCCAUGUUUCCUUAAUUCUAUUCACCGAAGGAUUUGUUUAGAUGAAAUUUUAACUCGCAUAUCAAAACUAUUACGGCUUAACGAUCUAUUAAUUUGACAACAUGGGAAGGUGGUAGCAGUGUGGAAGCAAGGGCACUGUCUUCGUGCUUCAUCUCUAGAUUUACAUCGACAAUAUCCAAACAUGCAAGUUGGUCCCCAAGCAUUCAAUUUUAUUACACUUAGUGAAGAAGGCGUCAUCAAGCACUAGUAAAUACUCAAUAGUUGAUAAAUAUUCAACUCAUGUUGAUGUUGUCAAUAGUUAAUCCACUAGUCCAUUCCUUCGUAAAUGUCAAUCAAGCAUACCAGAUAGUGUGUUUCAGUACUUGUUGCAGGAGUUUGGUGUUUCAAUCCCACUUGAAAAUAGAAUGCAUCAUUUUUAUCCUUUCACUUCAUUCCACCCAUUUCUUCAAUCUUUCAAGCAACUUGGCAAUUUCUGGAUGAUCAUGCUAAUGAGAAGAAAGAACAACAUUGAUUCUCCACAUGUGAACAUUGAUACCGCAUCGCUUCCUCUAAAUUCCAGUUCUUCGUCAUGAUCUUGCUCCUUUUCAUUGUGCCUCAAGCAUCCAUUGCUCCAUCUCAAGUAUAUAUAUAUGCUCAUUAACUUCAUCUGUCAUAACCUUGUGUUAAUAAAAAAUAAGAUAUAAAGGUCAAGAUACUUUGUCCUCCUUUGGCAUAAAUAACCGUGUGGACACACUUUUGAGUUCUUUAACAAAUUAAAAGAAUGUCCACAUAUAUCUAUGUAUAUAAUAAAAACACAGAUCAAAAUAGAGAAACAUUCAAAGUAAAACACGAUUGAAAGUUUUUUUGAGAAAAUAUUAGAGACUCCACCAGCAACAACUUGCUUAUUUGUGCAGCAUCACAAUUCCCUCUUUUUUUCCCACUCUCUCCGGUCCCAUAUUAUAAGUCAUUUUCUUGGCAUGCACAAAGAAGUAAUUUGAUUUCAUUCGUCAUUGUUCUUGAUAAAAAGAACAAUACAGCAGAACAGCUUAUACACUAUGGUAAAGAAACUAUCUAGCUGAAACAGUUACAGAACUGACUAUUUAUAUUCUAAUUAAACUAUAGUUAAUAUAUAUAACACGACCAGAGCAUUGAACAUCAGCGGGGAUAGCUCAGUUGGGAGAGCGUCAGACUGAAGAUCUGAAGGUCGCGUGUUCGAUCCACGCUCACCGCAUUAUUAAAAUUUUUUCGCUUUCAACAGACUAAACUUUGAUUUUUUGGGCCCAACUCUUAGCCUUUGUUUGGUUGAAGAGAAAUACAAGAGAGAUAGUCUAUUUCUCUUGUUUGGAUUAGAGAGAAGUUGGGAAGAGAGACCCAUAAUUAGUGGAACCCACCACUUUUUUCAAUCUCCCCUGCCCAGAGAAGAAAGGGCAUUUUCAUUAGUGCCCCUUUCUCUUUUUCUAUAUUACACAUUUAUAUCAUUUCUAUGAUUCCUUCUUUUCCCAUUGAAUAAAUUUCUUCCUUUUCUUUUAUAUAAUUUUUUUUUUAAGUUUUAUAAUUUGUUGAUUAGUAAGAAUAAUUUUUUUUUUUUUUUAUGUAUCUUCUUGUGAAGUUGAAUAAGUUUAAUAAGAAAUCAAAUUCAAAAUAAAAAUUAUAUUGAGCUUUUCAUUUAAGGGUAUUUUUGUCAUUAUAAAAAAUAAACACACUUCUCUCUCUUCUAUUUCUCUUAAACCAAACAACACAUCAAAUCUACUCUAUUUCUCAUCUAUUUAUCUCUUUUCACACUCUCUCUCAUCUAUUUCUCUCUUUACAACUUCUCUCCCAAACCAAAUACACCUUUAAUUUAAUUUUUUAAGGGAAACUCUUAAUUUAAUUGACACUUCUAUAUAUAAAAGAUUUCCUUCAAAAAAAAAAAAACUUCUAUAUAUAAAAGAUAUUAAUUUUGACACUAAAAUCGGUUACUAAUAAAAUGUAAGUAUCCUUUCUUUAAAAAAAUAAAUAAAGAAAUGUGUUGUGUAUACUUUUUCUGCUAUGAGUAAACUAAACAACUAGAUUAGAACAACAACAUAAUAAAUCUACGUGGAAUCUAAUAUGGACUUAUAAAAAAAGUUCCAAAGGUAUAUAUCUGUUUUAAAUAAAUUUUAAUAAAAUAUAACCCAUCCUUCCUUUUUACAUUUUAAAAUCUACUAUUUUAUACUCAACACAAUGUGAUGAAUUAAAGCUCGAAUUUUGAUAGGCUCAGAUUAACUCAUGUGGAGUUAGAAAGAAAAAAAAAACUGUUGUUUUCUUAAAAGUCGUAAGAACUCACACAUAAUGUGUAGUCCAGGGUUUAAACUCCGCCCCUAUACAAAUUAUCUCUGCUAAUUACCAACUGAACUACACUAACAAUUUCUCGUAAAUUUAAUAAGAUAUAACUCUUAUUAUUUCUUGAAAAAAAAUCUUUAUAUUUUUUUAUUUUGUGAUUUAAAAAUUUAGAUGAAUUGGAUUCUAGAAUUUCAUCAAUAAGGUCAUCAACUCCUUACCAUCAUCUGACUCAAUCUCCAUUGAUUGUUUAUAUUUUAGUUCGUUCAUACUAUUUGUAUAUUUUAAAUUGAUUUAGCCUAAAUCACAGGCGAACAUCUCAAAUAAUGAGGGAGUGAGUUGUUUCAACUGAUUUGAAACUAGAGGAUUAAAGAAAUCAAAGGAUCUAAAUCCUCGAAAAAACAAAAAUACUAACAUAACAACCUAGUAUUUUGAAUUUGAGCGAAAGAUACAUGCAGUCACCGGCGGCGGAGCUACAUAGAGCUCGGAGGGUUCAAGUGCACCCCCUCAAUUCUUAAUUUUACAUUCAAAUUAUCAUGUUGAAUCCCCUCAAAUAUAAACAUUGCACCACACUUGCACCAGCUGCAUCACAAUUGCACUAACUCUGACUCUUUUCCUGACUGUGUUGUUUAAGUAUGGUGAAAUGAGACAAAGCUUGUAACUGACAAUUGCAGCAGCUAGCACGUGUCCUUUGAUAGCAAGUAUUAUACUAAUAUCAUCAUGUGGCACAUUAUUAAUUAGUUUAGUGAAUGUCUAGUAUUGUAAUUGUAAUAUUAUUAUCUUGAUAGCACAUUUGUUUUGGUGAAUGGCUAGUAUUAUUGUAACAAAAAAGAAAAGAACGGUUAGUAUUGUAAUAUUAAUUAGUCAAAUGAGAACUACUAUUAUACAGUGAAAUAUAAAUUAAUUAAAUAGUGUAGAUUUUCCUAAUUUCUUAUAUUAAUUAAUUCAUAACUAAUUCCUUAAACUAAUUCAUAGGUUUUACAAUUUAAAUUCAAAAUCAAAACAUUCCACAUAAAUUUACCUGUGUGGGAGUCGGAUUAGGUUGUGGUGUGAAAUAGAAAAAAGCUUUGCCACCGAGUCAAAUAAAGGAUAAAUGGAUGAACAAUUCUCUUUUAAUUUGUAGUAUUUAGAGAGAUGUAGUUGACAAUAUUGAUAAUUAGUCGGUUAUUCAACGAUAUUAUAAAAUUGUGCAGAGGAUAAUAGUAGACUAUAUAUGUAAUUUUUUGAGUACCACAUAAAUUAAAUACAAUAUAAUUUUUUUAAUAUAUAUUAUAAUUUUUAAUUAAAAUUCAAAAGUUAAACCCCUGAUUCAGAUUCCUGGCUACGCCACUGAUGCAGUUAAACAUGCAGUAACUAAUAAAGUUAGUUUAUUCUCCGUAUAAGAACCUGGCAUGCAUGAUGAUGGAUCUGCCAUAUAAUAAUAACAACUUUAGGGAGUUCAUACGUACGCUUGUUAAAUACAAUAACAAAAAGGUUUUUUCUAGAUUACCUUUGAAGAAUGGUGGGUAAUUUACCCACCAAUCAAUGAAAAUGAACAAUUUGUUGGUGGGGUCAAGAUAGUUCAUGAAUAUCACUUAAAAAUGUGUUUAUGUGGCUAAUGUGUAUUGGUUGGGGUAAAUUAUCCACCAUUCUUCCAUGGGUACUCUAGGUGUCACCUAACAAAAAACAUUCAAAUUUAAGACGUCAAUAUGUUUUGUUAUGAAAAAAAGACUUCAAAUGUUUUUAUCCUCUUUUUUCUAAAAGAUGAUAACCGUUGAUUUCUCUCCUUACUUUUAGGUCAGUAUUCAGUCUUUUUUUAAGUGAGAGAAACCGGUUGUGAUCAUUAUCGAAAAAGAGAGAAAAAUUAACAGAUUUUUUUAGGACCAAAUCAGUAAUUUACCCUAAUUUUGGGGACUAAAACAUAUUGAAGAACAAAAUUAAAUAUACUAGAUUAGCAUUGCAUAUCAAACACAACAACCAUGCAUGCAUGUUAAAGUCUUUAAGGAGAUUACCCAAUUAAGUUGAAUAAAAUAAUUUAUGCACUGAAUCAAUCUUGAUGCCAAGUUGCUUAACAUGAAUAAAAAGAGUUAUUUAACAUAGUAGCUAUAUUAGAUAAAUGUGACUCAUCACAUGGAUAGAUAUGUGAAUUUGCAUGUUUAUACCUAACAACCCACUAGCCAUAGUAGAUAAACGUGUGACUCACAUUAAUCAGAGUCCAAGGUACUAACAUGCUUCGGAAAAUAGUUAUUCUCACAUGAAUCAAAUAGUUUAGUGGCUAGAAAUUCAGCCCAAGGUAAAUAAGAGGAGAAUCAGAAGUUUGAAGCUAAACCCCUGCAUACAUAACACAACGUUCAUACCAACUUAAUUAUGUUUACGGAAACAUAUACACGAUAAUUAGUAACUUGCUUAAAUGAAUAUUUUGCGAGUUAGAUAUUUUUCCCUUCUAACUACAAAGUAACACUCACCACUCUGCUCAUAAAUUAUACAUGACCAAUGUGCAAAACAUGAACGAUGAAAAAGAAAGCAAGAAACAGAGAACCCUGUUUUAAUUAUCUCAAUAACAAGCGAAUUUGCAAACCCUUAAACAAAUAAAUAUCAUCAAGGCUCAACAAUAGUUCUACAAUAAGGACAAUGAGGAUGUGUUUCAAGCCAAGGGAGAAGACAUGCUGAAUGAUACUUAUGUGAGCAAGAAAGAUUCAUAACCUCUUCAUCCUGCUGAAAAUCUUCUAAGCACACAGCACAAAUUUUUCUCUCUUUCUUAAAUUUGUUGCCACGUAAUAACCAUGAACUUUCUAGUAACUUCCUACCUAAUCCUGCAUCUUUCUUUUGGAAUUCUUUUCCUUCUUUUUUGGGAUUGUGUUCACUUGACCUGUCAUAAGAAAACGAGCAAAUUAAUCAUUAAUUAGUGUAAGAUGACACAAGCAAAAUAAUAGUUCUGCCUUACCAUGAAUAGUUCGGGACAUUCCAAGUUUGAUUCCUGAUGAAAAUAUUUUUUGAUCAAAUUUUACUUACUUUUCGACCGAAUUUUAGUUUACUAGGGUCUUUUUUCUCUAGGAACUAGAGGUUAACACAAAAAAAUCUGUUCUUACUUUGAUAUUAAGAAAAUAUUACUGUAAGCCAGAGCCAGGUUAGAAAGUAAAAUUGAUAAAAAUAAAAUAUGAAUUUCAAUGGAUAUCACGUGGAUUUUAACAGUAAUUUUAACAGUAAUUUUAACAGGAUUCUUAUAGCCCACAUUGUUGUAUGCAGAAUGACCUCAUAACUCAUCAUAAAUGGUUAUAGAAACAAUAUUAAAUCAAAACACAAUUAAAUCAUGUGAAUCUUCCUUGAUAUCCUUCACUUUAGAGAGAGAAAAAAAAGGUUAAAUUCCUUACUAUGCAUGUGAGUGUACAUAAGAAACAUGUGGAAAAUUAAAUAAAAGCCUAGACAAUUUGUAUAAAUUCUAGCUAGUUAGACUAAAAAUUAAGACUAACAGGUUUCUUGUUUCUUAAAAAAAAAAAAGUAUUAUUCUGUAGGAGUGGAUGUACCUUGAAGAGGAAAAGAAGUGACCAAGUUUCUUCUGUAGGCGUUGUUUGGCUUUGAAAGCAGUUUCAUCUAAGGUAGUAGUCAUUGAAGUCCAUGGUGCAUCCAAUGAUUCCUUUAGGUAAGAGUCUCUGUAGGUAGCAUAAUGUUCAUGUCUGUUGUGAUAAUGUUCUGAUCUUUUCCUUGGUGACAAUCCAACACCAGGUAGCCUACCAGCCAUUCACUCUUCUUUACCUAAGCUUAUUCUCAUCUCAAUUUAUUGCUUAGACCCACAAAAAAUAAUAAUGCAUCCAUGUUUUGAUUGAUGGUUGCGUGCUCUACUGGGACAAAUAUACAAUUUACCUCUUUGUAAAUACCAAAACUUAGAGGGGUCAAUUUUCAUGACUCUACAUGGACUUUUGCUAAUUAUUUAAAUUGUGUGAUUGAUAUUCAUGUGCACAUGACAUCAACAAUGCUUUGAUUUUGGCUUUUGGUGGGUUUGUAUGGAAGUGUAAUGUUCUAGGAUGUGGGAAAUUGGAAAUAUUUUUUUUUUUUUUGAAGGAGUUUUAUUGGUUACAUCUUACUAUUGGGAGGAUGAUUUUUUAGUGUCCACAAAGAAACACGUGGUUCUGAAAAGGAUAGCCGAAAAUGGAGAGGCAAUGUUGUCUCAAGUACUGUAGUACAACAUCAUAACUGUUUAUUGGGAGAGUUGGGGUCUUUUUUCCUUACGUGAUUUUUGGUACUCAACUUAGGUGGUUAGUUAUUUUACAAGAAUGGUCCAAAAUUCAAAAAAUUGUACUAGGGCAAGGUGGGGCAUCAGGUAAUUGAUCUCAAGGUGAAGCAUCCGAGAGUGAUAUUUGUUACGGUGUGUUAAGUGUGAGUUAAAGUACUAUAGUAGGUGGAAAAGUUGAGGUUGAACAACAUAUAAUUGAGGCGAACCAUAAAUCCAAUGUUUAAGAUUUUAGGUAAAAAUGUGGUGUACAAUCUCACUCGUGUGCUUAUUCUUAAUCCGAUAUGAUAGAUCAACCCCAUGAGGCUCCCAAGAUUUCAACUCUUUAUAAGGAGUCUAACUUAUUUUUUAAGAUUACUUUUAAAGUGUGUUUGGUGCGAAACAAAUUAGAGAGAAACAACUACAAGAGAAGUAGUGGAGAAGGCGUUUUUCACUUUUGCCCCUAAAUUUCCAAUUUUACCAAUAGUUAUUCGAAACACAUGACAUGAUCACGAUGGUAUAUAUGUAGAACGAGAUGUCUUAAAGGCGAAGGUGACUUAAGUGAUAAAUUACAAUCAAUGAUUAAAAAUGGAAGUUUAGUUGCGCCUUGAUGUUUCUUGCAUUCAUAUAAAACUUGGAUGUAACUUUAGAGAAGUAACAAGGUGAGAUAUCUCGACCUAGCGCUAAAUAGAAGUCAAUACUUGUCACUUCACUAAAAGUUGUCUUAAAAAAGAAUUGGGAGUGCACUGCAAAUCCAACUGAUAGUAUUUUUUUUCUUUCUUUGUUGUAAUUGGAUGCGUGUCUUGUGUAAAACUGAGAAGACUAAAUCUCUUGAGCUACCGAGAUCUAUUUUAACGGGUUGACAAUUUUUUUUCAAUGUUGGAUUACAAAAUUUAUGCAAGAAAUUAUAUGGGGUAAAUGUAUACCUAGAAAUUGAAUUGAAAACGACAAAACUUCAACCAAAUUGCCAAUGUCCUACCACAAUGUUGUGCAGUCCAUUCAAUUCAUUCGACAAUGCCAGUCAUUGACAUUAGCCAUAUAAGUUAGCUUACAAUUUACACGCAUACAAAGAAUCCUAGGUUUUCAUAUAUGUACUAUGAGACUCUUCGGUUAUGGGAUUUUUUUUUUCCGUAGCAGAAAAAAAGGGAUCAUCAUGAAAAAAAGCCGAAAGACAUAACCCAUCAUCCAAUCAUCUAAUAUUAGAUCAUAUUUUUGUUUGAAUUUAUUUAAAAUUAAAUCAAAUUUUGAAUGAGUGUUGUUGUACCCGGUCAAAUUGCAAAGAGUUCUAAAAAAAUUAUGUUGCAUACAAAGUGUUGUGUAUAGUAUAUGAGUGUGUGCGCUUAUACCAACGACAAGACAAUGGGCUUAAACUAACAGAAACAUAUAUAAUUUUUUUAUCUGUGUAUGAAACCCUUAAACUAUCAAAAAUAUAAAACUCGCGGAGUAGUUAAAGACACAGUUGGUUCCUCAUCUUGUCGUCCUACCAGUAUUAUUCACUAUUUUGUUUAAGAGAAACACACCAAAAUGAGACAUGUGUACUAUUUAAAAUGAAGGUAAUAACACGAUUAGAUGAGUUCAAUAGAGAAAACUAUAUUAAUCACUCAAAAAAUAGUAAAUUCAACCUCUUAAAUCUCACUUUACAAAUUUACAAUGAUAUUUCAAUCAUCAAUCACUCUUUUAAAACUAUUAAAAAACUUUAAUUAUUCGGUGUAAUUACUUUUUCCUAAAACAAUUCAUUUUUUGGUCAUGCAAAAGUAUAAUUACAAUGAUAUUUCAAUCAUCAAUCACUAUUUUAAAACUACUAAAAAACUUUAAUCAUUCGGUGUAAUUACUUUUUCCUAAAACAAUUCAUUUUUUGGUCAUGCAAAAGUAUAAUUAAUAGAAAACAUAAAGUUCAAAAGGUUGAAUGAAUAAAAAUUAACAUUUAAGUUUUGUCAUGCAGCUAUAAUUGUCACAUACUAUUCUAAAUUGACAGGAAAACCCAUGAAGUGUGCAAUACAAAUAUACAAUUACCAACUCUUGGCUUAACCAAUGAAUCUGAAAUGUUACAUAGCAUAUGGACCACAACCUGAUUUACCAAUGGAAGAAGUGACACUUGAAACAAAAAAGUGGUGGUUCAGGUGGCUAGGCUCACCAGGCAUAUUGGACUAGAAGUGCAGCGGCCAGUUAUCCCUCCACUGUCAAGAGACGGAGGUGUUUGCUGCUCUGUGAAACCAGCCUCACACAGUGCCCUCCAGUCUAGGACCAAGGAGACUCAAGCCUUCGCCUAGGUCACAUUGGCCAACUCUCAACUUGGAGUGGGCAGGCCAGCAUGGUGCAGCCACCAACCCAACCUGGCAAAUCUUAAGCCAUGUUCCAUCACCUUCAUGCCCCCACUUGGGUUACAAGUUGAAGUUACCCAACUCGGCAAGCUGGCAGCCUUGCCAGAAGUUUAUAUAGACUUAUUUCUAUCAUGAAAUUCUCGAUGUGGGACUUCUAAAUGUUAACUAAAACUUCUUCCCCUUCCACCAUGUUCAUUGUUCAACUUUCAUUGCUCACCUAAGCUUUUGAAUUAAGAUGCUAUGCUAAUUUUAUUGAUGUAGGUUUCAAGGCUUCGUUGUGUUUAAGCUUUUGGGCUCUCCUUCUAUGACUGUCCUAAUUCCUACACAUAUAUAUUUGAUGCUAUGGUAUAGGAAGACCAUAUAGACUUCUGAAGAAUGACAUUUGUAUAAUGACAUUUGUAUAAGGGUGCAGAAGACUCCUCCAAAGUUCAUUUUGAUUGUAUUCCAUUUCACAAUUUACAUGUGAUGUGAGUGUGGGUUAGAAUCACCAAAAUUGUAUGGGCAAAACAACAUCUUAAUUAGUUGAUGAUCAUGUAAAACAGGCCAUUCUUUACACCAAACUAUCAACAGCAGAUUGUGAAAAAACAAGCAUAAGAAUUGUUUAGUGCCAUUUUCUAAAUACAAUGAAAGUUUAAACCUCAAUCUCUUAAGGUACUAAAAGGUGGUUUACUGUCAUAUAUUUUCCUAAUCUUGAAUUAAUUCCAUUGUAAUUUGUUUGAUGAACACUCAAGUUUUUCUCAACCAAUAUAGCUACAGUGUCAUUUUUGUUUAUAUAUCACAAUUAAAACUAAUAUUUUUAAAUUAAAUCAUUUUCAAAAUCUUACAGCUUUAAAAUGUAUUUGAUCCUUAAGAAAAUGUAUUUGAUAUGCAUACAUAUUUUAUUUGCGUUCAUGUUCAAACCAAUUCAAACUAAACUGCAACUUGAUAAAGAAAUAAAAACUGCAGAAAAUUAAAUAUUGUUGGAUAUGUUCGUAUGUUUAAAAAACUAAGCAAAGUGCACAUGUAUAUUUAAUAGUUGUUUUUAAUUUUUUUACUGGAAUGAUAUAUUCCAUUAACCAAUUAUUUGUUGAUAUUAAUUCUUUUAAAAAUACUUAUUAGUUCAAUUCAUAUGUUUUAACCCCCUAUGUAAUCGAUGUUUUUCAUUACGCUGUGCGCGCGCAUGUGUCAAUAUAUAUCAUUUUGUAUCAUACCAAUUAUUUUAUCAUAUCUUUAUAAUAUUUAUAUUAAUACAAUUUUUUAUAGUUGUAAUUUGGAUAUUCAAAAGCUAACCUAAAUUAAAUCGCAUAAAACUGGAUAUUUCAAUAUUUUGUUUUGGUCCCAUUAAAUUUUUUGUUCGACUUUUAGUCAUCCAAAAAUGUUACAUCACCACUUUCUAUACUUUUAAGUCAACUCAAUUGUAUUAUUCCUAAUUUUUAAUUUUUUGACGCAAUCAUAUUUAGUACAUUAUAGAAUUCUCUCGAAAAAGUUAAAUUUUUUUAACAAGAGAUGAAUUAAAUAUAAAUUUUUAUUUUUUUUGUGAUUAAAAAUUCAUAUUUAAUACAUGUGUUUUUUAAAACUCUUUUUUUUUUGGAGAAAAUCUUUAUAAUAUUUUAAAAAUUUAUGCAAAAUUUUAGUCGAAAUUUCGAAUGAUACAUAUGAGUUGACUUUAAAGUAGGGACUAAAAGUGACGAUGUAAAUUUUUUAGUGGACCAAAAGUCAAAAUAUUUUAGGGAGAAGAAGACAAAAAGUUUGAAUGUUUAUUGAGAACAAAACCAUAUUGUAAUUACUCCUUUGUAAUUACUCCUUUCUUAAACAACUAGUUACAAUCCCGUGCUUCGCACGAGUUGAAUAACGUAUUUUUUUAAAAUUUAGUUUCGAAGGAGAAAUCUUAUAAAUUACGAAAAAUUAUUGUAAUUUAUAAAUAUGAAAAUAAAAAAUGCGUAAACCAAAAUUUUGCAACACAGAGCCUAAAACACUACAUAAAAAAUAACAUAACAACUAUUAUAAUAUCUUAUUCCUUAAAGUUAACCCGAACGCAAAAUUUUGCUCAAGAUUUAACCUAACUUCUUUGCUUAAUUUUAUUGUAUUAAUCCUAUUUAAUUUAAUCAAAAUGUUAACGUUAAUUGUUAGGGAGAUCAAAAUAAACAAAUCGCUUCUAAUUUUUCUCCUUAAUUUUACUAAACAAAUUAUAUUAACCCUAGAUUUAAUUUAUGCAAAACGUCAUCUCUUAUCUCUUAUUUUUAAAUGUUAACCCGUGACACAAUAUUAACCCUAGAUUUAACCUAAUUUUUUCGUGUGACUUUACUAUAUUAACUCUAGAUUUAAUUUAUGCAAAAUGUCAUCUCUUAUUUCUAAAUGUUAAUCCGUGACGCAAUAUUAACCCUAGAUUUAACCUAUUUUUUCGUGUGACUUUACUAUAUUAACCCUAGAUUUAAUUUAUGCAAAAUGUCAUAUCUUAUUUCUAAAUGUUAACCCGUGAUGCAAUAUUAACCCUAUUUUUUCGCAUGACUUUACUAUAUUAACCCUAGAUUUAAUUUAUGUAAAAUGUCAUCUCUAAUUUUAAUCUAAUUUUUUCCUCCACACUUUUGCAUUUAAUGUUUAUCUAAAGUAAAAUAAAAGUAUGUUCCCAAUUAUAUGAUGUUUUUUUGGAAAGGAAUAACAGAUAACCCGUCUAGCUAUACUUAACUUAAUCUCUUACUUAUAAAUGUUAACCCGUCUUGCUAUACUUAAGCUAUUUUAUUUUAUUUCUUAAAGUUAACCCGGACGCAAAAUUUUGCCCUAGAAUUAAUCUAACUUCUUUGCUUAAUUUUACCGUGUUAACCCUAUUUAAUUUAAUCAAAAUGUUAACGUUAAUUGUUAGGGAAAUCAAAAUAAACAAAUCGCUUCUAAUUUUUCUCCUUAAUUUUACUAAAAAAAUUAUAUUAACCCUUAUGCAAAAUGUCAUCUCUUAUUUAUAAACGUUAACCCGUGACGCAAUAUUAACCCUAGAUUUAACCUAAUUUUUUCGUGUGACUUUAAUAUAUUAACCCUAGAUUUAAUUUAGGGUUAAUAUGUCUUUACCCCCCUGUAAUUUGGGCGAGUUUCGGUUUUCCCCCCUAUAAAAAAAAAAGUUUAGAUUCCAACCCUGUAAAAUAAGAUUCUUUGAUUUUAGCCCCUGACCCAUGUGACUGUGCAUAAUUGCUGACGUGGCGGGCUGAGUGGCAUGCUGACUGUGCAUAUCUGAUUAUGUGGCGUGCUGACUAUAUAAUUAAUUAUUUUUUUAUUUUAAAAAAUAUAUAAAAAUUAAAAAAAAUAAGGAUUUUUUUUAUUAAGAAAAAUAUUUUCUAAAAUAUUUAUUUUUCGAAAAUUCCAAAAUUUAUAAUUUACGAAAAAUAUAUAUUUCAAAAUUUUUUAAAAUUAUUUUCAAAAAUGUUAAAAUAUAUAUUUCAAAAAAAAAAUUCAAAAUUAUUUUCGAAAAUUUGGAAUAUAUAUUUUUUAAGUUUAAAACAGAUUUUUUUUCGAAAAAUAAGUUUUUAAAAUUUUCUCAAAAAAAAAAAAAUCUAGAUACAAAUUUAUUUAAAUAUUUAGAUUUUUAUUACGAUGUGUUACAGAUUUGAGAAUAUUUUUUAAUAUUCAAAAAUUGAGGAUAAAAAAAAUCUGGAAAUUUUUUUAAUAUUUAAAUUUAUUCUUAUCUAUUUGUUACAUGUGUUAUUUGUAUUGAAAAUUAUGGACAUUUUUGAAAAGAAACAGCCAACCCAAAAGCUGAAAGGGGUUGUUUUCUUUAUAUAUAUUUCCAAAAAUAUUAUAUAUAAAAAAUUCAUACAAUUACUAUAUUUUGAAACUUUCGAAAAAUUAAAAAAAAAUCCAAAUUAAAUUAAAAUUUUAAAAAUAUUCGAAAAAAAUAAUAUAAACUAAUUUUUGAAUGUUUUGGUAAAAAAAUUAAUAUUUUUAUUUUUUGAAAAAAAAUCCAAUUUUUUUUUUCAUUUUUUAAAAAAAAUUGUUUUUUUUUUCUUGAUUUUAAAUUUUUGAAAAUGAAUUUUCAGUUUUUUUUUAUCUUUUUAAAAAUAAUUUAUUAAACCAUUACACACAUGUCAGAUUUAAAAAAAAAAUUAAAAUUAAAAUAAUUACACAGUGGCGUGCCAUAUCAGCGUCUGAAUGGGGUCAGGGGUGUUUUGUGGAGAAUCUUCAUAUUACAGGGGUGUUUUGUGGAGAAUCUUUAUAUUAUAGGGUUGGAAUCUAAACUUUUUUUUUUACAGGGGGGAAAAUCGGAACUCGCCCAAAUUACAGGGGGGUAAAGACAUAUUAACCCUUUAAUUUAUGCAAAAUGUCAUCUCUUAUUUCUAAAUGUUAACCCGUGACGCAAUAUUAGCCAUAGAUUUAACCUAAUUUUUUCGUGUGACUUUACUAUAUUAACCCUAGAUUUAAUUUAUGCAAAAUGUCAUCUUUUAUUUCUAAAUGUUAAUCGGUGAUGCAAUAUUAACCCUAGAUUUAACCUAUUUGUUCUAAAAGUACUUUUUUUAGUAAGUACUUAAUUGAUAUUGUGUUUUACCUAACUUCUCCUUAAAAAUGUAGAGAAGUUUGAAAAACGUCGGGUCAAACGAUACCUUAAUCUCCCAUAACGGCAAUGUAGAAACAACUGAAUUUGGGAUAAAAAAUUGAAAAAGUUAAAAAUAUAAAAAUUGGAAAAUAAUUAAAAGUUAUUAAAAAUAUAAAAAUUAGAAAAUAAUUAAAAAAAAUUGGUUAGGGGCAAAAAUGGAAAUUCAUAGGCCAUUGUUAAAAAAAACUCAACCAAUAAGUAGAUUACCAAAUUGCCCCUUAUAGGGGCAAAAUGGUAAAUUCAAGGGACAUUUCUUUUCUUAUUAGUAUAUAUAUAGAUAUAGAUUCAUUGUUUUUGUCAAAAAAAUAAUUCAUUGUUUGGUAAAAAGAAAAAAUAUUUAAGAAAAACCAUAAAACUCAAAUGGUUGAAUGAAUGAAAAAUUAACAUUUAUAAUUUUGCCAUAGAAAAAUCCUAAUCCUAUAGAUUACCAAUUAAUUAUGUUACACAUGAUGUGCUUUAACUUAUCCUAUCACAAUCCACAAAUAUACAUCAGUAGCUAAAAGAGAGAAAUGAAGAGAAGGAUGGAAACAUAUAGAGGGAAAGUGAAAAGGAGUGACUCUUAUUUCACAGUCAACCUUGUGUGAUUUAUAGUCUGCACUCUACUCUAUCUCGUUUGUGGUGUCAACAGCAAAAUAAGACUUGAAGUUAAAAAGAUUAUUGUCACAUAAAUUGACCGAAAAACCAGAAACAAUAGUUUAUGACUUUAUGUCAUUUUGUCAGGGUAAGAGAAGUAUGCACUACAAAUCUGCAAUUAACAUCAAAACACUCCUGGCUAAUCUUUGUAUCUGAAUUGAUGGAAAAGCCAUUCAGCAUUACCAAUAUGAAGUAGCAUGACAAAUUGCCAUAUAUGCUAAAAUUGAAUGUAUUAGUUGUAAAAGUGAGAACAUAAGUGAACGCUGCCACACCUUAAUUUACCAAUGGAUUAUGGAACAAGUGAUACUUGAAACAAAAAAAGUUGUGGUUCAAGUGGCUAGGCUCACCAGGCAUAUUGGGCUAGAAGUGCAGCGGCCAGUUAUCCCUCCACUCACUGUCAAGAGCCGGAGGUGUUUGCUGCUCUGUGAAACCAGCCUCACACAGUGCCCUCCAGUCUAGGUCUAGGACCAAGGAGACUCAAGCCUUCGCCUAGGUCCCAUUGGCCCAACUCUCAACUUGGAGCGGGCAGGCCGGCAUGGUGCAGCCACCAACCCAACCUGGCAAAUCCUAAGCCAUGUUCCAUCACCUUCAUGCCCCCACUUGAGUUACAAGUUGAAGUUACCCAGCUCGGCAAGCUGGCAGCCUUGUCAGAAGAUUAUAUAGAAUUAUUUCUUUCAUGAAAUACUCGAUGUGGGACUUCUAAAUGUUAACUAAAACUUCUUCCCCUUCCACCAUGUUCAACUUUCAUUGCUGGCCUAAGCUUUUGAAUUAAGAUGCUAUGCUAAUUUUAUUGCUGUAGGCUUCAUUGUGUUUAUGCCUGUGAACUCUCCCUUUAAGACUGUCCUAACUCCCACACACAUAUAUGUUAGAGGAAGACAUAUAUAGACUUUUGAAGAAUGACAUUUGUAUAAGGUUGCAGAAGACUCCUCCAAAGUUCAUUUUAAUUGUAUUCCAUUUCACAAUUUACACGUGAUGUGAGUGUGGGUUAGAAUCACCAAAAUUGUAUGGGCAAAACAACAUCUUAAUUAGUUGAUGAUCAUGUAAAACAGAUCAUUCAUUAGACCAAACUAUCAACACCAGAUUGUGAAAAAACAAGCACAAGAAUUGUUUAGUGUCAUUUUCUAAAUACAAUGAAAGUUUAAGCCUUAAGGUACUAAAAGAUUGUUCACUGUCACAUAUUUUCUUAAUGCUGAACUAAUUUUGCAACAUGAGGUAUACAAACCUAAUAUGUAAUUGAAUGCAUGUAUUAAAAAAUACCCCUCAUCAUACAUGUAAAUUAAAUUAAUCCAUAAUUUUUUUAAUUUCCGGAGUGUAUUUCUACUGUCAAAAAUGAUCUUAUAUACUUGUUUUUCCUACAGUGCUUCAGAACUUACCAAGCAUGCACUAGCAGCUAUAUCAUGUUCUCUGAUUAGCUGGAAUCAAAGGAUUUAUCUCCAAUCAAACAGUAUCUCAUAUUGUAAACCCAUGUGAACAACAUUAUUAGCCAUACACAAGAUUCUCCAAAGUUGUUGAUUCAAAGCCUGUGCCUUGUAUUGUCCCUUGUUUUAGUAUUCUAAACAAGGUAAUAAACAAUUUAAACUCCAUUAUUUUGUUUUAAGUCAAGUAUUAUUAUCAUGUAAUGAAUAACAGAAUGUCUUUGAAGGGAUAUGUUGAUUGUUGACUACAUCCACAUGGGGUAGAAGAGAAAUUAAAUCAAAAUUUUGGACUCUCCUACAGGCCCCACUUGGAGAGGAUCUUCUGCAUUCAGAUAUCAGAUUAUGUUUUAAACAUGUCUUCUUUACGUACCAUAUAAGAACUUUCCAAGAAAAUGCAUCAUCACUGGCCCAUCUUAUAUUACAUGCUUUUGGACUUUUGGGUUGGAUUCGUUGAAUGAUUGCUAUACUAGUUUUUAACCAUAGAAUAGAAGCAAAUUUUUCAUCAAAUAUUGUUUUUUUAUUUUUUAUUUUAUUUUAUUUUUUAUUUUUUAUAAAUUAUUGAUAUUAUAUAUUCAACUAAGGUCCAAGACUCAGGAAACAUAUUUGCUGCUGUUACCGACAUUUACCACAUAUAUGUACUAUUUAACAUAUGGUUUAGAGUGAUUUGCAAAUAACUUGUACAAUUUUACAGAAUUAAGGGUAUACAUCAUAGAGAAGGCAAUGAGGAAAAUUCCAAAGGUGGUGUUUCCUCCAACAGAACACCUUGUAAAAUGGGGGAGCAUAUAUGUAAACAUGCCAUGUGAUUGCCAACUAGUGGUUUGUAUAUGAAAAUAUAUCCUUCAGAUCAAAACAAAUAUGCAAAUUAAUUACUUACUCUAUUAUAUGAAUAAGAUGGGCCUAUAGCUAUUAAUUUGAUGUAUACCUAUGUUUACUGGCCAUCCCUGGUUUAUUAGACUUAUGUCCCUUUUGUUAAAUGGAUUCUAUGGAUACAUUAUUUGCAUGCAAUUUAUUGAGAAUCGGUUACAUUUACUCCUUAUCCAUCCAUUCUAUUAUGACUGACAUAUUUCUAUUUUUUUCACACAAAUUAAUGAAAAAAUAUAGAUAAAACUAUAGAGAAAAACCCUGGUGGCACAUUAAUAAAAGAUAAUAAAGAAUGAUAAUAGUUUAUCAAGAGGAUUACCCUUCACUUUAGAAGGGUGGAUUAGGAAUAAUUCUAAUACGGGACAUGAAUAUUAGGACAUAUUUUGGACCCUUGCAAAAACACAAAAAUGAAGGAAAAGAAUAAUUAAAUAAUAUUUAUUUUUUAAACUAAUAAUAUAUGAUGUGCAUUUUUUUGAGUGUGUGAUCAAAUAAUGUAUCUAAAUCUAAUGUCCACACAAGAAUUGUUUGUGAAUUAGACUUGAUAUGAUAUCAAGCCUAUCAUUUCGCACCAUCCAUCAUUUAUUAUAUCUAGACAUUGGACACCAAUUUUGUAAGGAUGAGUUAGAUUUAAUUUAGAAACCUAAUAAAAACAAUUAUAUCAAAUUAAUCUAAUUAAGUUUUAAUACAUCAUUUAUUUGUUUACCGAACCUUGAACUAAAUAGUUAAGGGGUUUAAAUAUCUAUAACAUGUGUUAUGUUAAGUAAGGGGUCCAAGUAAAUAAAUCAUUUAGCCACCAUUGAAGCCAAGCAAUCUUAAUUUAAAGCUUGGUAUGGGUGACCAAUCUCAUUCAUAACUACUAUCAUAAUCUGAAACUAUUUAAAACAUCUGGCAAUUGACAUCUCUAUAACUUCACGUACGGUCUCCAGUUUGUUUUGCAAGCUAACAUGGAAUUGUUGUUAUCAGUGUCACAUUCUGCUCAGCAUACUGUAAAGGUUAUGAUGAUGACUUCUAGCAAGGUCUUGGUAUCAUGAAAAAUAAAUACUAUAUUGAAAAAAAACCAGUAUCUAAAGUUAUUCUUUACUUUUAAUUUAUUUAUAACUUGUGCUUAACUUAUCUAAAAUAAUAAAAUUUGAUAGUCACAGAUAACAUUCAUUAUUCUUCUUGACUACACACGGAUAGGAAGGGCACGUGCAAAAACUAAGGACACCUACCCCACAAACUUCUUCUAAUUUUCUAUAGUUCAUGACCCCUACAAUAAACCUUCAACUCUUAAUACAAAAUUAAUUUUGAGUAUUUUACACGGAUGCUGCAUGUUCUUCACCUAUUAUCACAUGCUUUCUGAUCCACCCCAUCCCAUAUUAACCCACAUUUGAAAUCACCAAAACACCCUUGAGUGACAGUCAUUUAUUCCCUAUACUGUCAAUGUGGGGACAAUUAAAAAAAUUCUUUUACAUUUUAGAGGGUAAGGAAUCUUUUUUUUUUUCUUGUCAAGGACCUUACCUAAUUACAUGAAAUGGUAGUUAACAUUUUAGUGCCAAAAAAAGAAAAAGAUUUGAUGUAACAGUUAGUUUAGGCUGUAAAAUAGUGUUAUAUAAUAAUUUCAAUAAUGUGCCAAUCCAUAUAGUACUGAAAGCAACUUGUCAAUUAUAGAUACCAAGAGAUCUACAAAUAAAAUCAUUUUGCAACUUUCUUAUAGGUAGUUGCAACAAUCCAUGUUAGUUUACUAGGCACUUGAGAGAAAAGAGAUGGGAAAAAAAGGUAAAUGGCUCAAAAAUUUCUUGACAGGGAAGAAGGACAAAGAAAAAGAGAAGGAAAAAUGUAACACAAACCAGAAUUUUUCAAAUGGAACAGAAAAUCCAACUACUCCUGUUUCAACAACACCCUCAAAGGAGAAGAAGAGAUGGAGUUUUAGAAGAUCAUCAGCAACAGCUACACCAACAGCUUCCAAGGAAUUGAAUAAUUCUGAAAUUACUGCUUCAAUGACAGUGCAAAGUACUGUCAUUGAUAUUCAGAAUGAGCAAAGGAAUCAUGCCAUUGCUGUGGCUGCUGCUACAGCCGCGGCAGCUGAUGCAGCAGUGGCAGCUGCACAAGCUGCAGCUGCUGUGAUCCGGUUAACUUCUGGUUCAAAUGAAACAUCUAAAAGUAUUGAAGAUGCUGCUGCUGUUAAAAUUCAAUGUGUCUUUCGAUCUCACUUGGUAUGAAGUUAGUUUUCCUAGUCCUUGAAAUUUUAAGGGUCGGUCAAUUUAAUCUUUCAAAUUUGCGAAUUAGUAUUUUAGUCCCUUAAAGUGAACAAUGUCAGAUAAUUUCGUUGUUUUUCCAAAUUUAUCGCCACAAUUUAAGGGUCGGCCAAUUUAGUCCUUCAAAUUUGUAAAUUGCCCUACUUUACAAUUUCAAGGACUGAAAUACUUAUGGUUUGUGAAUGUGUGAAUGUUUCUGUGACAGGCAAGAAAGGCAUUGCGUGCUUUAAGAGGAUUGGUGAAGUUGCAGGCACUGAUAAGGGGUCACUUGGUGAGAAAACAAGCAAAGGCAACACUCAGAUGUAUGCAAGAUCUGGUCACAGCACAAGCUAGAGCUCGUGCUCAAAGGAUCCGAAUGGUGUCAGAAGGAAAGCCUCAUCUAAAUCACAGAAAUGCUAUGGAAAAUGACUUGUUCAGGCAAAUAUAUAAUGUUAGUUCUCUUACUACUACUAAUUAAUAAUUAUCUUUUCUUACCAAUUUGAAUUUGAUUGUUGAAAUUUUCUGAAUUGAUGUCAUAAACAUGAUUGGAAAUUAUCUAUAUCGAAUUGAAAACAACAUUUAGUUCAAGUGUGUUUUCAAUUUGACACAUAAAUUUUGUAGGUAAAGAAAGUAACAAGUUUCAUUUUGCAUUAGUUAAAACAUUACUCUAUCAUGAGCCAUGGCACCACACUUUAUAUUGAAAGUGUGUCUGAGCAUCCAACAAGCUACACUACUGUUUCAGACCGACACGACACCAACACUUGUGAUUACAUACACUCACUUCUAUUAUCUUAAAUUAUUACCAGUGUGUAUGUGUAAGCAUAGUAUCAUGUCUUGUGUACGUUUUAGUAUUUCAUAGGUCACGGGAAUUAACAAACUUAUUCUUAAAACUCAAUUUUUUUUGCUUGAGUAAACUUAAAACUCAAUUAGUGCCUAGAAAAUUGCUUCUUUUGUGUGUUGUAAAAUCCAAAGUAAAACAUGUUACAUUAUAAAAUUGUUUAGUCUAUCCAAAUGAGGAACAAUAUGAAGUAGUUCUAGUCAUGAAAUUCGGUUUUGUGCAUGUAGGAAAUGGACAGAGGCUUGGAAGACAACAUCAAAAUUGUGGAGAUGGAUUUUUGUGAAUCAAAAGGCAACUCUACAAGCAGAAGCAGCAGUGUAAAUAGACAACAUUAUGAGCAAUCUGAAAAUAGAUAUUCCAUAAAUGGUUCCUAUACGAAAGAAGAAAACUACAAAGUAUCACCAGCUCCAUCAGCUUUAACAGAAUUGAGUCCAAAAGCAUGCAGUGGCCAUUUUGAGGAUUGCUUCAGUACAGCUCAAAGCAGUCCUCAAUGCUAUUCUGCUAUAUCAAAAACAGAUGAAUCAAAUCACCCUUUUGCUUUCCCUAGGCCAUCUUAUGCAGAACAAAUGUCCUAUGACUACCCUUUGUAUCCAAGUUACAUGGCUAAUACAGAAUCAUCAAGAGCUAAAGUUAGAUCACAAAGUGCACCAAAACAAAGGCCUGAUUCAUUUGAGAGGCAACUGAGUCGGCGGAGAAUUUCGGUUGAAGGAAGAAAUGUUCCUAGGCCAGUGAGGAUGCAGAGGUCAUCUUCACAAGUAGGUGCAGCUGCUCAGAACUACCAAUAUCCAUGGUCAAUUAAGCUUGACAGAUCGGCGGUUUCACUCAAAGACAGCGAGUGUGGUUCGACAAGUACAAUGCUCACAAACACUAAUUACUGCAGAUCCCUUGUUGCAUAUGAUGUGAGUAGUACUAGUUUUUAUCAUACAAUCGUUUGAAGAAAAAAAAAAUAUAUCGGAUAAGUCAUUAAUUGCUUUGUUACAUUGUUUUGAUUGCAGCCAGAGGGAGAUAGGUACUGAGUGUGUACCUUGUGCAACACUAAAAUAGAAGUCACAUUGCAAGACCAACAAAAACGUAAGCAUUGAGGUGUUAAGGUUUCUGAGUUCUUCUUUUCCUUUUAGAGUUCCAAAGAAAAUAUAAGUUCUGUUUUUUAUGAUAUAGAGUGCUGGGAUUUAUUGAAAGUACAACUUCUGUAGAGUUUUUUUUUCUUCUUAUAUUCAUUGUUUGUACUGUCUGUGAAUUACAUUUGUGUGAAGGAUUUGUAAUGGUUUUUUGUCAUGUAUAAAUGUUACCAAGUUAGAUAUAUUUCAGAACAGCACUGUUUUACUAAAGAGUUGUUUAUUUUCUUUGAUGAUUUACUUAGUCCAUCACUAGUUGACAAAUAUUCUUCAAGAGGGCAAGGACCACAUCCACAUGUUAAUUGAUGUCAAAAUGUCAAUACUUAGUACCUAUAGUUGAAGCUAACUACUAACAAGUGCACUACAAAACACUAAAGUACCUAUACUGGUACAUUUUGUUGACAGAAAUUUUCAUGAUUUUAUCAUGAGUGCUAGUACCGCAUGUUAGUGACAUCCAUACAAAGUGGUAUUGGUACUGCCACUCUAAAGAAAAUUUCUUAUAGAAUGUAUCUUGAGGCAUAUAAACUAUUCAUAAUUCUGUUACCUAUAUCUUUGUCACUUCCAAAAGCCCGAAAACUAUUCUAUUCAUAAACUGAACAAUAGUUGAGUUUGAGGUAACAUCCAAUUUCAUGCUGCACAUUUGCAUUACUAAUCACAUCAUAGUUGAACCAAGGGAGCAAUAUGUUUUUUAAUAUACAUCAUUAGUACAAAGGUAAUUAUUUUAUCAAAAAAUUAAAAUAAAAUUACAAAGGUAAUCAAGAUUGAGCUAGUGAUCUUGAGUGCAAUUAGAAAAUGUAAUCAAAAUUGAAAUUUUGAAAUAGGUGGUGUAACUGUUCUUCUGAGGUUGUAGAAAUCUGGAUAUUAUAUACAUAAUGGGGGGUGGCAUUAAAUACAUGAUUGGAGCAUUACAAAAUGUUACUAUCUUGUUGAUCUGGUGUCAUCUUUAUACCUCUUUUAAUGUCUCAAAUCAAAGAGAUUGUUGCUUUUUUGGCCCAAAAAAUGCACAAACCGUUCCAAAGAUAACAUUCGGGUGAUAACUCAUGAAGGUUGUUUUUCAAGAUAAAGAGCAAAUAGAAGGCUAAAGAAGAACGACCAUCAAGCAAAGAACUAGAACCCAUAAUCUUGUAACAGAUCUACAAAGUACUGCUCAUUGUGUCUUUUGGCCGAUCAAUCAUAUAUAUAUUUGUGAAUUUCUUUUCCACCUCCAACAUUCUCGUACACCAUAUUUUCGAAUUAUAAAAUCCAAAAAUUGAGAGCUUUGGAAGGUUUUUGAGCGUGUUUUACACUUUUCGAAUUAUAUACAAAAAAAAUUCCUAUUAUAUAUUAAUGGGUUAAAUAUGUUUUUGGUCCCUAUAAAUAUACAAAUUUUUUUCGUUUUUGUCCCUCUAAAAUUUUCCUUCAACUUUUGGUCCUUUAAAAAUUUUUCAUCUUCACUUUUGGUCCCUCCUUUAAAGUAAACUCAUAUGUAGAUUCAUAUUUUUGAAUAAAAUUUUGCAGAAAAUUUCAUAAUAUUGUAAGAAUCACUCCCAAAAAUAAUUAGAAUUUUUUAACAAAACAUGAAUUUAAUAUGAAUUUUUAUAUUUGUGAAUGUUAAAAAUUCAUAUUUAAUUUAUGUUAUGUUAAAAAAUUCUAAUUUUUUUUAAAAAAUAUUUUUACAAUAUUCUACACAUAUCUCCAUAAUUUUAUUAAAAAAAAUACCAAAAUUAACUUAAAAAUAGGAACCAAAAGUAGUGAUAGAAAAUUUUAUAGGGACUAAAAAUUGAAAGAAAAUUUUAGAGGGACUAAAACGAAAAAUUGGUAUAUUUAUAGGGACUAAAAACAUAUUUAACCCUAUAUUAAUAUAGCAGAUUACUCAUAUGGCAUGUAUCGAAAAAUAAUCAUGUGUCAUCAAAAUAAUAAUAAUGACAAUAAUAUAUUUCUUUAUACCAAUAAUGGGUUGGUCCUUAAGCAUGUGGUUGGGGUUUGGUUUCUAGCUCAUGCAUACGGAAAAAAUCUAGUUUGGGUGGAAGAAUUCACAUUGUGUGCUUCGAAGAUUAAUCAUUGUUAAGCGGUGAUGAAAACUUCGUAUUAAUAUUAUGGUAAAAAAAUAAAAUCUUUGAGUAAAGUGGAACAUGUAUCAUUUUUUUAAAAUUAAUAAAAAAAAUAUCCUUGUUUGUGUACUUGAAAGAGUAAUAAACUGUUUUAUCUGCACUCCUUGACAAUUUUUUCCUAUACCAUAAAAGUGAGUUGAAAGUUUCUUAUGCUUUCUACCAACUAGUUAAUGAUUAAUAAUAAAACGUGUAAAAAUUUAAGUCAAAAGGAAAAGCUAACGAUAUGAGAAAAUGAAAACCUUUUCGUCCUAUUUUAUUCUCUUUCCAUCUUAGUUUUCAUUUUUUUUCACCUACUGAAUACGUUUAUUAUAAAAUGGUAAUAAUAGAUAAUAUAGGCCACAAUCUGCCACGAACCUUCAUAGGAAGUAUAACAUAAUAAUAAUAAUAAUAAUAAUUGUUGCUGGCAUUCAUAUUUCAUAGAAAUUUUCUAAAAAGAAUGACAUAUAUAGUGUAGUUUGUGUUUUAGUUUUACUCAGUCCAAAACGUUUGGUGAUAUUGUACAUUGACAUCAACUAAGAUACAAUCAUUCUAGAAACUAACAGCACUAUACGUCAAGUUUUGUAUAAUCGCCCUUUAUUUGUCUCUUAUGCCAAAUUGUGCAUGUAAAUAUCAAACAUGUCUAUAUCUUCUUUAAAACUAGAGUGCACUGCCACUUAAUAUAGAGGAUAAAUUUAUGGAGUCAUAACUGUAUCAAUGAUACUAGGAACUAUAAUCAUGUACACAUAUACAAUUAUCACAAUUCACAAACUUUAGCUGAUUUUUUAAUUAAUAUGAUACGGUCCCACGGAUAUGCUUUGUAUUUGUACAUUUCAAAAAAUUAAUAAUGAUAAUCUCUUCCUUGGUUAUCUCAUGGUGUUUGACUUUGAUUGGCUCUUCAAUCUCUAUAUCCUUAAUUUAAUAUAUUAACUUAUUAUAAUUAAGUUUCUUAUCACAAGUGGGAUAAAAUUAUACUACAUGUUUUCAUAUCACAAGAAAACGACUUAAAGAAUUUUUCUCCCUUAAAUUUCAACCAUGCUUAAAUAGACCAUGUAGCCAAGCUUUCCUCCCCAUGAAUUCUUCUUGUGGUAAUUCCUUCCCAUGGAUUUUAUUACCUACUCUACCGUCUUCAGUUUAACUAAUUAUGAAGACUUGGCUUUUAUUUUCACAGUGAUUUUGGAAGAAACUGAAUUACACAAAAUUUUAUAGUAGUUGACAAUAAAACAUCUAUAUAUGCCACUUGAAUAAGUUGAAUUGCAUAAUAAAAAAUGUUGAAUGUAACUAGGCAACAUAUAUAUGCAGAAAAUUUGCUAGAGGAGGAAAAUGAAAAAAAAUACUAAGACAUGAAAGCUACUUGAACAAUAGGGACAUAUGGAAUUGAAAAGUGUCGAAAUACCAUCAAUGUUAGUUCUACCCUGAUGAUGUGAAAUUAUUGUAGGUGAGUAUGUAUAAUGCUACUGAAAUAUACUGCAUGAAUUUUUUUUAGUGAAUCAUCAACUUCGUCUCUGAAUUUUCACGGGUCGGCUAACUUCGUCCUUCAAUUAUGCGAAAUAUCAAUUUAAUUUCUGAAUUUGUUAAAUGUCAAUCAAGUUAGUCCUUCUGUUCAAACGGAGCGUUAACGGGGCUGACGUGGCCGUUAACCUUUCACAUGUCAGACGCCACGUAGGCAGGGACUAAUUUGGCCGAUAAUAACAAACAUUUUGAAGGACUAAAUUGAUUGAUUUGCAGAAAAUGUUUUGGCUUUCUUCCCAAAUGGCUCUUUUCUUCCCCAAUAGCUCUUUCUUCCCCAAUUUAUAAAAUUGGAACCUUAAUUACACAAUCUGCAAUCUACACUCUAUAAUCAUGAAAAUUUCCUCCAAUAAUAAGUGGUUCAGUUCUACCCCAAUUCAAAAAACUUCAAACCCUAAUUUUUUUCGUAGUGAAUUUGAAAGCCAGAAUCCUCAAAAUUUCUUGAAGCAAAACUAUUGAAAUUGAAUCUAAAAUGAUGUGGGGUGGGAAUAUGGAAAAAACGGUUAUGAAAGUCAAGCUUCAUCUUCAAGCUCCAAGUUUAAUGGUGUUGUGAGAGUGCUUGAAUGUUGGUGUCCUACAAUUUGUGUUGUUAGAAAAUCCAAUACUUCAAAAAACCCAGGAAGGUCAUUCUAUGCUUGCCCUCUGCCAAAUGUUGGUUUAACUAAUCAAAAGAGGUUGAAGAUGAUUGAGAAAUGUAAUCUUUCUAUAAUAAUAUUGCCAUCAAAUUAGUCCCUGAAUUAUUUCUCUAUCUAUCAAAUAGAUCCCUACGUUAUAUAAAAAACCAUCAAAUAAGUCCUUGAAUUGUUUAAUCAGAUAUCAAAUUGAUCUUUGAAACAUAUGUGUACAAAAUAAACUAAAAAAGGCAGAACACACAAAUUGAAAUUGAAAUAUUACAUAGGCAUAAGUCAUAUGUCAUAAGUCAUAAGUUUGAGAUAUUACAUAGGCAAAAGCAACCCAACUAUGGGGCAUUAACAAGUCAUAAGUCUUAAACGACAAUUUAAGCAAAAAGAAACCCAACUAUGGGGCAUAAUUCAAAUAAGCCUAAAUAUUACAAAUCCAAAACAUCUAUUAAACUCCAGGAAGCAUCACUUCUUUGGAAAUCCGGUAGUUGGUAUAAACUCCAUGAAUUUAGUAGGUUGAGUCGAACCGGAUGGACCAUAGGUUGGAUAUGGAACCCUAAUUAUGCCAGCAGGAGUUGGAUGAGCUGGUGCAGGACCCCUCAUUGAUGUUUGCCUAGGCCUAUCAACUGAAAGAAUUGGUCCUCUAAGGUCAUACCUCCUUGGUGCAGAAACCUGAAAUUGCAAAUUCAAUCAAAUUAGUCCCUAAAAUCAUAACAUAAUCAAUCAUAUGAGUCCUUCAAUUAAUAUUACUAAUUGCCAAAACGAUUCUUAAAAAUUAAGAGUCAUACCUGUCCAGCAUUUGCAACAACAUUUCCUGCAGUUUCUGCAUUCCCAGACACAACAUUAUUCUUGUGGCUGACUUUCUUGAGCCUCACUUCAAAAACCCUAAAACGAAUAAUCAAAACAAAUGCCUCAAAAACGCAACAAACACAAACAAAAAACAAGGCAAGCAUCAACGAUCACAAAAACAAAAUAAAACAACAUGAUCAAAACUUAAAACGAAAACAAAAAAAAAACGGACAAAAACAGGGUGAAUACGAACACAAAAACUUGAUAAACAACAGGAAAUGUGUUACCUUUAAUCACAGCCGAACACACAAACUUCAAAAAUGUCAGAAUCGUCGAAGAUGAUGAUGAUUUUGGAGGGGUGAAAAUGGAGGAAGUUUUAGCGAAAAGAAGAAGGGUCAAAGACGUUUUUGAUGUUCUGAAAUGUGAAGAAGGAGUUAUGGAUAAUGCAGGGGAAAAAUGCGAAAAGCAGAAAAAAAUAAACUGAAAAGUGAAAACUCAACAUUUUCCAAUUCAAUCAAAUUCGUCCCUGAACACGUGGCUUCCUUUUUGCCACGCGUACAAGACAACACAACAUGCAAGGCGACAGAUCAGCAUGGCUAACGGAGCACUUGGACGGAGGGACCUUUUUGGUGGACGUCUGACAAAUUCAAGGACUAAGUUGAUAUUUCGCAUAAUUGAGGGAUGAAGUUGGCCGACGCGUGAAAAUUCAGGAACGAAUUUGAUGGUUCACUCAAUUUUUUUUCUAAAAAUAAGAAACAUGCAUGAAAGUCAAAUUGCUAUAGUCAAAGGAAAUAAACAUGUGUGCUUAUAUAAAUAAGCUAAAGAUGGUAAAAACCGUGUUUCUGGUGAGAUAUAAGCCACCAAUUUUCUUCCGGUCUUCUACAAUAUGCAAUUAAACAUCAGCAUUGUCAUCGUUUACAUUGCAUGCCAGUUCAUUGCCACCAUGUAAUACUGCAUAGUAGCCUUUUCAGCACAGUUGAAUCCACAAAUAAUCAAAUUAGUAUAACUAAUUUUUUUCAGAAAUAGUAGAACUCAUAUGUAUGAAUGAUAAUAUUAAAAGGUAAGUUGUAUUGUGGUGGUAAUAAAUUAUUUUAAACACAUAUUUAAUCCCAUUUUUAUUUUGUUUCAAAAUACUGAAGUCACAAUUUGAAAUUGUCACUGCUAUUAUUUUUAUUUUAAAAAUUAAAUAGCACGUUGAGUGUUAGAUUAGAUAUAUAAUUUUCUUAGCCUUUAUAAGCAUCUUUGAAUUACUACUUAUGACUUAUAUAAUUUUGUUAUACCAGUAUCAUAAUUUUAUUUUCAUAGGACCCUAUAUAUUGUAAUUCGAGUUAAAUUACAGAAUUUGAAUACUAAAUAAAGCCGGCAGCAUUUCAUUUUGGCAGUCCUAUCCACAAAGCCUCAAACAAAAUAAACUUAAAUUAAAAGUACAAAAGAAACAGAAAAAUCAAUUUAUAGUAUAGAACUAAAAUCAAAUUAAAUUUGAAACCUUUCAUCAAAGAAAUAAAAAUGGUAAAAGACAUUUGAACAUAUGAUAGGUAGUUUAAUCUAGUUGAAUAUUCAAGCAAUAUAAUUAGAAAUUUUCAAUAUAAAAACAGAAAAAGAAUGCAAAAAAGUCUAACCAAAAUAUACACAUUCUUCAUUUCUCAAAGUAUAAAAAUAUUAUAAUCAUGAUCAAAAGCUGUAUGGAUGUCCGUUUAAAUGUCUAACCAAACCAAUCACUCUAUUAUUAUUUUAUAAGAGUAAUGUCAAUUUGCAGCACAACAAACAGAAACUUCCAAAAUUUCUCCAACAUACACACACCCCUUAUAUAAAUUCACAUUCCCAUAACACAAAAUCAAACCCAUCCAUUAUCAGUAAUGGAAUCCUCUUAUAGUCUACAAUUCUUAAUUACCUUCAUUGUCAUUCUCAUAUCCAUCAACCCCUCAUCACACCAAUCUCUACCACCACUAAACCCAAGACUCACCAAAGCCUACAUAGCACUCCAAGCAUGGAAACAAACAUUCACCUCAGACCCAAAAAACACCACCUUAAACUGGUAUGGCCCAAAUGUAUGCAACUACACAGGUAUCUUUUGUGCACCGUCACUAGAUGAUCCUUACAUCAAUACCGUUGCUGGUAUAGACAUAAACCAUGCAAACAUAGCAGGUUCAUUACCAGAAGAACUUGGUCUUUUAACAGACAUAGCUCUUUUCCACAUAAACUCAAACCGUUUCUAUGGUUCACUCCCCAAUAGUUUCAACCACCUUCACCUUCUCCAUGAGCUAGACAUCAGUAACAACCAAUUCUCAGGAACAUUCCCGNCACCGCCUCCACCUCCACCUCCACCACCGCCGCCUCCACCUCCACCUCCACCUCCUCCUCCGCCACCACCACCACCUCCACCUCCUCCUCCGCCACCACCACCGCCGCCGCCUCCACCACCACCACCAUCACCAUCACCGCCUCCACCUCCACCACCUCCUCCGCCACCAUCUCCUUGUCCGCCACCACCUUCACCACCUCCUCCUCCGGCAACUUACUACCAUUAUCUCUGAUGAGACAAGAGCUUGGAAUUUUUUAUUCUUCUUUUCUUCCAAAUUGGUAUACGUAAGAGAAUUAGAGGUAGUGUUUAAUUGGUCAUAUAUGUAAAAAUAAAUUAUAAGAAUUUAGCUAUUUCCAUUUUAACCGUUUGGAUUGAAGGUUGGUCAGGCAACUUUGUUUUGAAUUUGAGAACAAAUAUUAUGGUUGUUAAUUCUUGAGUGUGUCAUUGCACACAUAGUUAUAUAUACAUAAACAUAUACUCAAUUACUCAUAGUUGAAUUCAAUAUAACUCAGCUUGUGAAUGUGCAGAAUCGGGUUUUCGCCAUUGUCUCUAAAAACUCCAAGUCUAAACCAAGUUUUAGGUGAAAUUGACAAAAUUGUUGCUUCAUAAACAAAAUCGUCACUUGUCGGGUCAAUGACGGUGAUUCAUUUUUUUUGUUGUAUCAUGAAUGAAUGUCGGGUUUGUUAAGUCGUUAUCAUUGAUAAUUACCAAAAUAAUUAUUUUUAUAGCUAAGUUUACCAAUUCAAAUGCCACAUUUUGAAUUGAAACUCGUCAAAUAUUUUAUAAAAUAAUUCAGCAAGGCUAAC
rnacentral:lncRNA from 1 species